rnacentral:rRNA from 1 species
GACGAACGCUGGCGGCGUGCCUAAUACAUGCAAGUCGAGCGGAAGUUGAAGAGCUUGCUCUUCAACUUUAGCGGCGGACGGGUGAGUAACACGUGGGCAACCUGCCCUGCAGAUCGGGAUAACUCCGGGAAACCGGUGCUAAUACCGAAUAGUUUUCGCCACCUCCUGGUGGCGUACGGAAAGACGGUUUCGGCUGUCACUGCAGGAUGGGCCCGCGGCGCAUUAGCUAGUUGGUGGGGUAACGGCCCACCAAGGCGACGAUGCGUAGCCGACCUGAGAGGGUGAUCGGCCACACUGGGACUGAGGCACGGCCCAGACUCCUACGGGAGGCAGCAGUAGGGAAUCUUCCGCAAUGGGCGAAAGUCUGACGGAGCAACGCCGCGUGAGUGACGAAGGUUUUCGGAUCGUAAAACUCUGUUGUGAGGGAAGAACAAGUACCACUUAACUACUGGUACCUUGACGGUACCUCACCAGAAAGCCACGGCUAACUACGUGCCAGCCGCCGCCGUAA